CAACCUUCGAGUUUUUUUCGUCUUGGUCAUAGUAGUCAGAGCAUUGCCUAUGACUUCCUCCACUUCUGGGAUUCCCUGAAUUUCAAGAAAGAUAUGGAGUUUGUGGGAAUCACGGUUCUCUUCCUUGAUGAAAAGGCUACACUCAUCCGGUGGACGAGUCGUUAUAUGUCCCCUGGACAAAACCGUUAUGUCCAAAGUUCUGACCUCACCAAAGAAACAACUCGAGUCGUUAUUCGUUUCUUCAAUGAUCCGUAAGAAACAAUCAACACAUAAUUUUCUUUAUAUUACUGUAUAUAUUGUGCUAACAUCAAUAAUCAAAAAUAUUUUCUACCCAAGAUUUGUGGUCGUCUAUUUAUCUCUCUUACUUAUCAAUCUAAAUUUACACAAAUAUUUAUUUUACGGCUUAAAAGAAACCAAAAUAACUCAAACAAUCAAAACACCAAAAACUAGAAUCCCAAAAAAGACGAAUUAUUAAUGGUCACCUCUCUUUUUGUCUAAUCUUACAAAUAAAUUUCAAAACAAAUAUACCAAACCAAUCAACUCAACUAAAACUCAACGACACAUACAUUGAGUCAGCUAAAGAAAUACAAACUACACGUCCAGCUAUUUAACAAUUUACAAACUUACUUUCACAGAUGCUUACGAAGAAAACGAAGACGACAACCAAGAUCAAUGAAAUUACCCAUAAA